rnacentral:rRNA from 1 species
UACGUAGGGGGCAAGCGUUGUCCGGAUUUCUUGGGCGUAAAGAGCGUGUAGGCGGCUUCACAAGUCCGCUGUGAAAACUCGAGGCUCAACCUCGAGCUGUCGGUGGAAACUGUGUGGCUAGAGUCCGGAAGAGGAGAGUGGAAUUCCCAGUGUAGCGGUGAAAUGCGCAGAUAUCGGGAAGAACACCCGUGGCGAAGGCGGCUCUCUGGGACGGUACUGACGCUGAGACGCGAAAGCGUGGGGAGCGAACAGG